AUUGAACGCUGGCGGCAGGCCUAACACAUGCAAGUCGGACGGUAGCACAGAGAGCUUGCUCUCGGGUGACGAGUGGCGGACGGGUGAGUAAUGUCUGGGGAUCUGCCCGAUAGAGGGGGAUAACCACUGGAAACGGUGGCUAAUACCGCAUAACGUCGCAAGACCAAAGAGGGGGACCUUCGGGCCUCUCACUAUCGGAUGAACCCAGAUGGGAUUAGCUAGUAGGCGGGGUAAUGGCCCACCUAGGCGACGAUCCCUAGCUGGUCUGAGAGGAUGACCAGCCACACUGGAACUGAGACACGGUCCAGACUCCUACGGGAGGCAGCAGUGGGGAAUAUUGCACAAUGGGCGCAAGCCUGAUGCAGCCAUGCUGCGUGUAUGAAGAAGGCCUUCGGGUUGUAAAGUACUUUCAGCGGGGAGGAAGGCGGUGCGGUUAAUAACCGCGCCGAUUGACGUUACCCGCAGAAGAAGCACCGGCUAACUCCGUGCCAGCAGCCGCAGUAA
rnacentral:rRNA from 1 species